rnacentral:rRNA from 1 species
GCAGGCUGCAACCCGCCCUGCAUGAAGUCGGAAUUGCUAGUAAUCNCGGAUCAGCAUGCCGCGGUGAAUACGUUCUCGGGCCUUGUACACACCGCCCGUCACACCAUGGGAGUCGGUAACACCCGAAGUCUGUAGCCUGACGCAAGAGGGCGCAGCCGAAGGUGGGAUUGAUGACUGGGGUGAAGUCGUAACAAGGUACC